UACGGGGGGGGCAAGCGUUGUUCGGAAUUACUGGGCGUAAAGGGCUCGUAGGCGGCCAACUAAGUCGGAUGUGAAAUCCCCAGGCUUAACCUGGGAACUGCAUCCGAUACUGGAUGGCUUGAAUCCGGGAGAGGGAUGCAGAAUUCCAGGUGUAGCGGUGAAAUGCGUAGAUAUCUGGAGGAACACCGGUGGCGAAGGCGGUUCUCUGGGCAUUACCUGACGCUGAGGAGCGAAAGCAUGGGGAGCGAACAGG
rnacentral:rRNA from 1 species